AUAAUUAAUAUAAGUCUAUUUUUUAAUAAUUGCUUGUUUCAGAUUUCGUCAAUGGGACGAAAGGGUUUUGGGAACAAAAUUCACAUGAACUAACUCAUUUCCUACAAUGAAAGUACUCUUGAUAAGAAUUUUUAAGAAGCCUAUUAUCUAUUUUUUAUACUAACUUAUCUUGUUUCAAAGUUGCUUGCCGCUGAAGUGACAGUGUUUAAAUGAUUUUUUUAUUAUAAGUCGGUCUACACAUUUUUACCAAAAGUUGAUAAUAUGUUGGCAUAUUUUAUUAGAAAAGAAAUCGAAUAUUGAUUGGGACGACUCACUUUUGGAAGUAAUGUUAUAAAACGAGAUUGGAACUGAAAAAAAAACGAAUUUACAAAUUAGGAUAGAUAUAGGAAUGAGGUCUACUCAACCUGGAAGGGACAAUAGAACAAAUCCAGAGGAUCAUCAAAACAUGAUAACAACUGAAUCAUACAAAAUUUUAACAGGCGGACAAAGAUGUACUAGACCUUACUAAGGACGUUAGGGGAGAUGUCGAACAUCCUUCUUCAUCGUUCUUCCGUCGAGAAGAGAAGACGACGGAAGAACGUCUUCCAAAAUGGUGAGGUCUUAAGAAAACAGAAAACUCCGCUUAAUUUUUUCCUUUUUAAAAAUGUAUAACAUUAUGGAUUUGUUUUCAAAAAUUACUAAAUAAGAGACAAUUUUGGUAAAAUAAUUACCUAUUAUUCUUAUUUUAAUAGUAGGCCCCAUUGUUUUUAAGAAGGCCACGACGGAAUAAUAGAUAAAUAAAAAACUA